CCCUUAGAUGUUCUCGGCCGCACACGCGCUACACUGAAAGAGGCAACGUGUUUGCCUGAUUCGAAAGAAUUGGGUAACCCCCUAAUCUCUUUCGUGCUGGGGAUUGAGGUUUGCAAUUAUCCUUCAUGAACGAGGAAUUCCCAGUAAGUGCGAGUCAUUAUCUCGCGCUGACUACGUCCCUGCCCUUUGUACACACCGCCCGUCGCUACUACCGAUUGAAUGAUUUAGUGAGGACUUCGGACUGAGACCGAUGCGGCUUUCGGGCUGCGUCGGUAUUCUGGAAAGAUGUCCAAACUGUAUCAUUUAGAGGAAGUAAAAGUCGUAACA
rnacentral:rRNA from 1 species